CCUGGAGAAGAGCCCCGACUUUUUGCAUUAAUUAGGCCAUUUCAACCGAUAGUGAGAAAGAUAUGUUUUAAAUACGCAAUAUUGCGCUUAAUGUUACAUAACUUUCUUUGAUAGGUUUGGCUACUCAUUUUUAUAACCAUGAUCGGUAUGGUGUUUGCACUGAGUUUCUUUUCCAAGAUCUACAAGUCGACCAACGGCGAUGCUCUGAAUCGUCCGGCCUCAUCCCGAGAGCGACCGACGACGUUGUUGGAUUACGCAAGCACUUAUUCGAUGUACGUCUGGAACAUCAUUACAAAUCAAGGAGGAGUCGUUCUCCUUCCUCGAUGUUCAUUUCAAAUUCUAGUCGGGGUGUGGCUGCUGCUCACCACCGUUUUGGUCAACAGUUAUUCGGGAAUCGUCAUUUCCUACCUGACUGUGCCUAAAAUGAAGCCUCCCAUCGAAACAUUUUGAAGAUUUGAUCGCUUGCGAAGAUGUUGAAAUCAUUCUGCGCCAAGAUUUCGUUAUCGGCAAGCAGAUUUUGGAAGCGAAAUCGGGAACUCUCAAGACCCUGGGCGACCAGGCGCGCAACUAUCCGGAACGGUUGUUUACCGAUCAGUCGAAAAUCAACGCCCGUUUGCUCACUGGGCGUUUCGCUUUUCCCACCGUUCAGACAUUCUGCAAAUUCUUCGUCAUCAAUCAAUUGCAGAAGGAAGGCACUUGCCGUUUUCACGUCACCGAUCCGUUGCCAUUUCAAAACGGAUUCUGGUCGAUUGUUUUGCAUAAGAACAUUCGAGUGUUGACAGCGCUUUGAUGGCGCUGUGGGAAAGUGGGCAGCUUCAGUUCUGGGCCAGCAGAGGCUUUCCUCACCACGAUUGUCUGGCCAGAACGAAAUCUCUCCGCAAGACUCAAACGGCUCGACUGCAAGUGCCUAUCAAGUUAAGUGACUUGAUGGGAACCUUUUUGAUUUUGGGCAUCGGUGCCGGCCUGGCGACGUUGGUUUUUCUCCUGAAGAAAAUCGACCACUCUAGACGACUUCGAAUGUCUG